rnacentral:rRNA from 1 species
GACGAACGCUGGCGGCGUGCUUAACACAUGCAAGUCGAACGGAAAGGCCCUGCUUUUGUGGGGUGCUCGAGUGGCGAACGGGUGAGUAACACGUGAGUAACCUGCCCUUGACUUUGGGAUAACUUCAGGAAACUGGGGCUAAUACCGGAUAGGAGCUCCUGCUGCAUGGUGGGGGUUGGAAAGUUUCGGCGGUUGGGGAUGGACUCGCGGCUUAUCAGCUUGUUGGUGGGGUAGUGGCUUACCAAGGCUUUGACGGGUAGCCGGCCUGAGAGGGUGACCGGCCACAUUGGGACUGGGAUGCGGCCCAGACGCCUACGGGAGGCAGCAGUGGGGAAUAUUGCACAAUGGGCGGAAGCCUGAUGCAGCAACGCCGCGUGCGGGAUGACGGCCUUCGGGUUGUAAACCGCUUUCGCCUGUGACGAAGCGUGAGUGACGGUAAUGGGUAAAGAAGCACCGGCAAACUACGU